rnacentral:misc_RNA from 1 species
AAAUGCGAUAAGUAAUGUGAAUUGCAGAAUUCAGUGAAUCAUCGAAUCUCUGAACGCACCUUGCGCUCCUUGGUAUUCCUUGGAGCAUGCCUGUUUGAGUAUCAUGAAAUCUUCAAAGUAAAUCUUUUGUUAACUCAAUUGGUUUCUACUUUGGUAUUGGAGGUCUUUGCAGCUUCACACCUGCUCCUCUUUGUUCAUUAGCUGGAUCUCAGUGUUAUGCUUGGUUCCACUCGGCGUGAUAAGUUAUCUAUCGCUGAGGACACUGUAAAAGGUGGCCAAGGUAAAUGCAGAUGAACCGCUUCUAAUAGUCCAUUGACUUGGACAAUACUUUUAUGAUCUGAUCUCAAAUCAGGUAGGACUACCCGCUGAACUUAAGC